CUCGAGGCCAGAUCUAGAGUUUGAUCCUGGCUGAGGACGAACGCUGGCGGCGUGCCUAAUGCGUGCAAGUCGAGCGAGAACCACUCCAAUCGUAAGAGCGGAGUGGGGACAGCGGCGAACGGGUGAGUAACACGUGAGAAACCUGCCCCAGAGAUCGGGAUAGCCCGGGGAAACCCGGAUUAAUACCGAAUAUCCUCGGAGGACCGCAUGGUCCACCGAGGAGAUGCUCCGGCGCCCUGGGAUGGUCUCGCGGCCUAUCAGCUUGUUGGUGAGGUAACGGCUCACCAAGGCGACGACGGGUAGCUGGUCUGAGAGGACGAUCAGCCACACUGGGACUGAGACACGGCCCAGACUCCUACGGGAGGCAGCAGCAGGGAAUUUUGCACAAUGGGCGCAAGCCUGAUGCAGCGACGCCGCGUGCGGGAUGAAGGCCUUCGGGUUGUAAACCGCUUUCAGGAGGGACGAAAAUGACGGUACCUCCAGAAGAAGCCCCGGCCAGCUACGUGCCAGCAGCCGCGGUAACACGUAGGGGGCAAGCGUUGUCCGGAUUUAUUGGGCGUAAA
rnacentral:rRNA from 1 species